GACGAACGCUGGCGGCGUGCUUAACACAUGCAAGUCGAACGGAAAGGCCCUGCUUUUGUGGGGUGCUCGAGUGGCGAACGGGUGAGUAACACGUGAGUAACCUGCCCUUGACUUUGGGAUAACUUCAGGAAACUGGGGCUAAUACCGGAUAGGAGCUCCUGCUGCAUGGUGGGGGUUGGAAAGUUUCGGCGGUUAGGGAUGGACUCGCGGCUUAUCAGCUUGUUGGUGGGGUAGUGGCUUACCAAGGCUUUGACGGGUAGCCGGCCUGAGAGGGUGACCGGCCACAUUGGGACUGAGAUACGGCCCAGACUCCUACGGGAGGCAGCAGUGGGGAAUAUUGCACAAUGGGCGGAAGCCUGAUGCAGCAACGCCGCGUGCGGGAUGACGGCCUUCGGGUUGUAAACCGCUUUCGCCUGUGACGAAGCGUGAGUGACGGUAAUGGGUAAAGAAGCACCGGCUAACUACGU
rnacentral:rRNA from 1 species